GCUACCUACAUUAUGAGAUUAUUCUGGAUAAAAACGAGAUUAUUUGUCAGAAUAAGAAGCUAUUUAUUGGAAAGGAGCAUCAAACUCACUCACCACCCUGUGAAGUUCAUAUGUAGCCUAAUAAUCUGCAUGCUUUCGCGAGUCGAUGUGCGAGGACCACACAACAUAUCAUCGCGUGACUCCAAAUUUACUUCGAUAUGAUGGUUAUUAUAUCAAUAUUUGCGCAUAAAAGCGUUUCCACUGCCAUUUCUCCAUAAUUUUAUUUUACCGACACAAAAAUAGCCCACCAUGUUGAAGAACAAAUUGAAUGUCGGCAUUUAUACAAUUUUACCGGCAUUUCAUGUUUCCAUAAACCGAGUCGUCACUUUUUGUUCAUGCGCCAUGUAAUUCAUCUUCAUGAAAUUGUCGGAUGGAAACGUGGUUAGUGACCUCCGAACAAACAAAUAUUUUCGUGGGCGGAGAAAAACCUCUCGCUUCGCCUCUUUCGUCUCUGACUACACUCAGUAGAACGUUUGGUAGCGUUGUGACAGACGCCGUGUUCAGUCUAAAGACAUGCAAGUACUGACAAGGUUUAUUGCCAAUUUUACGUUUUAAAAUUAUGCCAACAGCAAUCGCAACCUCCAACAAGUCGUUUAAAUACUUUACCAUAAGAACUUCAGAGUAAAGACGGCAAUGGAAAGGUGGAAUAGUCACGUGCGCGCUGGACUGUUCCAGAGAGAUUGUACACAACAUGACCCAUUCACUGGUGUCUUCAACACCUGUAAAUUGUCAGAGUUAUCUGUGGAUUUAUUACAUUUGAAUAAUGAGUUAUUUGUGAAUAUAUUUGCCAACAUGUUGUGAUUGUCUCUUUUCAGUGUCCAAAUUAGCAGAGUGGCUUGAUUUAAGGGAGACAUUUUGGGAUGAGUUACAUAGUGGCCUUGUACACAAGAUUGCUUCUCCUUGCCUUUCCUGCCCAGAAUUGGAUCAAAACAGUGAUUGUGUAUCUUAUUUUUGACCUGCUCUUACCAGUCCAAUCUUCCUCUUCUUCCUCCCCAGCUCUCUCGGACAGUUUCUGACCUGACCACCCUCAUGUACCUGAAAGAAGCAGAGCUUCAAUACUGCCACUCACAAUGGCGUUGUUUCACCCAUCGGCUCAACAAGCACCUCCGUAGAACGAUGCUGCGACCAGGUGAGCAGACCAACUCCUGGAUGACUGGUAGGCCUUCAACAGAACCAGUAACUGCCAUACAGAGUAAGACUUCCAAAAGCCUUAAAUUAUCCUCAUUGGGGGGUUGCUAUUGUAGUUCUGAUUGCAUACUCUAAUCACAGUGAUGUGUAGUGACACGUAUGCAUAACUGCCCACUGUCCAUUCUCCUGUCUUUUCUCUGUAAGGAGACACACAAACAGACACAGAACACACAGCAGUGUCAGGCACUCGCUUGCGUCCCAACUAAUAUGCGUUCUCUAAUUCUCUCCUUCUCUCUUUCUUUCUCUCUCUCGGAGGACCUGAGCCCUAGGACCAUGCCCCAGGACUACCUGACAUGAUGACUCCUUGCUGUCCCCAGUCCACCUGGCCGUGCUGCUGCUCCAGUUUCAACUGUUCUGCCUUAUUAUUAUUUGACCAUGCUGGUCAUUUAUGAACAUUUAAACAUCUUGGCCAUGUUCUGUUACAAUCUCCACCCGGCACAGCCAGAAGAGGACUGGCCACCCCACAUAUGCUCUCUAAUUCUCUCUUUCUUUCUCUCUCUCGGAGGACCUGAGCCCUAGGACCAUGCCCCAGGACUACCUGACAUGAUGACUCCUUGCUGCCUCCAGUUUCAACUGUUCUGCCUUAUUAUUAUUCGACCAUGCUGGUCAUUUAUGAACAUCUUGGCCAUUUUCUGUUAUAAUCUCCACCCGGCACAGCCAGAAGAGGACAGGCCACCCCACAUAGCCUGGUUCCUCCCUAGGUUUUGGCCUUUCUAGGGAGUUUUUCCUAGCCACCGUGCUUCUACACCUGCAUUGCUUGCUGUUUGGGGUUUUAGGCUGGGUUUCUGUACAGCACUUUGAGAUAUCAGCUGAUGUACGAAGGGCUAUAUAAAUACAUUUGAUUUUGAUUUGAUUUAAUAUCAAGGUCUGCUUUGCCCAGAGGAGGAUGGUGCACACUGCCCAGGGUGGACCUUGACACAUUUUCCCAAAACUUCCUGUACUAAAACAGACCUUGAAUGUGGCUCAAAUGUUGUUUUUUACAUGUUUAUCUAUUGAAAGAUAUUGAUUUGAAUCAAUGUAUCUAUAGGUAAAGCUAAUUAUAAACCAAACUGUAAUACUGUUGUGAAUUUCAGAUACUGUACGUACAGGCUUAUUUAAGUGAGUACCUAAGACCUAACUCAAUGUUUUAUCAUUAACCGUUUUAAAAUACUAUGAGCAAUAAAGGAAAACUUCUGUCA